rnacentral:lncRNA from 1 species
AUUUGGUUAGUGCCACCAUACCAUCCAGACACUGUUUAGUAAUCUUUUGAAACUUACUAAAAGAGGUUUUUAAUAAUGAGGUCCUUCUGUAGUGCCAUGGUAGAAGAAUUGAGGAUGUCCCUGAAGUGCCAGCGUCGGUUAAAACAUAAGCCACAGGCCCCAGUUAUUGUGAAAACAGAAGAAGUUAUCAACAUGCACACAUUUAACGACAGAAGGUUGCCAGGUAAAGAAACCAUGGCAUAAAGCUGGGAGGCCAAACACCCAAGCACAAACUGUCGUCUUUUUCCAAACAAUUUAGCGAGAAUGUUUCCUGUGGAAAUAUGCAACCUGUGCAAAAUAAAAUGAGUUACCUCAUGCCGCUGUGUCUAUGAACUAGAGACUCUGUGAUCUAAGCAGUUGCAAUGAUCAGACUUGAUUUACAAGCAUCAUGGAUCAACCAAGUUACACGGGGUUACACUGUUAAUCAUGGGUUCCUCCCUUCUUCUGAGUGAAUGUUACAUGCGCAUUUUGUGGCUGGUUUCAAAUGCAGUCCAGUGAGAAAUUACAGGUUCCUUUUGAAGCUCAACUGUUGCCAGGAGAUGGAAUAUCAAUGCCCAACAGGGCAACCAAUAAAAGUGUCACUAAGAAUAUAAAUAUUUGGAAUCAGCAAAAACUGUAGUGUUACAGGAAACAGUACAGUCUUCUGAACACCCAGAUCAUAGAGGUGAUGAUGUUACUAGCCCCCAACUACUCAGUAUAAUUAUUGUCUGAACGCACAGUAUGUGUUUAUAGGAUGUGAAAAAAUGUAAUGCAAAACAAAUUUGAAUCCCAUGGCAGUUGGAAUAUAAAGCAGAUGUUCAUCACUUAUUUUCCUUUUUUCUUUUCUUUUUUUUUUUUGACAGUCUGUGUCACUGAUUGAGAUAGAAAUGCCAAUUAUCAAGGAAAUAAUGUUUUCUUAAGUUCCCUAAGGCAGAAGAUUUAACAUGCAAUUCUACCAGAUCCCUUCCUAUUCCCCCAACACCUUUUCUCUAACCCCCAUAUCCCAAAUAAUAAUAAUAAUAAUAAUAAUAAUAAAAGCAGUGGGUUCAGUGAUUCUGAAUUAAAAGGAUAAUGUUUUGCAAUGUUCCAGUUGUAAAAACUGGCCGAGUAUUGGCUGUGUGGAAGACUAAAGCUUUCAUUCUAACAUUCAGACAUAGCAAUCCAAACCCUUGUUCCUGCUGUAAAUGAACUUGAUGGAGCAUGGGCAGAUUUCAGUGAUACGAGAAAGGGGACUGGUCAUCUAUAGAAAAAUCUGUGAGAGAACUUGGAAGUGGACUGCGUUUAUCAAUACAGUCACAAUGUUAAAUGAACAAAAUUCUUGAACAGUUUUUUUUCAAAAAAUGUUCAGGUUUAUUUGUGGAAAUGCAAGAUUUCUAUGAAAAUAGUUUUUGUAUGGAAAUUUUUGUAAUACUUUUUAUCAACAAAACAAGAACAUGUGUUCCUGUCAGGGGUGUGAUGUGAAGCAUGAAUGGUAGUGCGUGUGCACCACCAACGUUUGGUGAAAACUAUUUUUAUCAAGAAAAAAGGAAUCAUAGAAGAGAAAUAUUUUCAAGUUAGAUAAUAUAAAAGCUAGGUGCACUACCACCACUGCUUACCAUGCCACACCCCUGGUUUCCACGAGGCUGACAACAUACUGUAAUGAACAAUUGUGUGUAAAAUGGUAAAAGACACAGACCUCUUGACAACAUUGUGAUAACAGUUGAGUGCACACAGUUUGCUGUUUGAAUCCAAUGCACAAAAUUAAAAAAAAUCAUUA